rnacentral:tRNA from 1 species
GCCUUCUUGGUGUAGUGGUCAGCACGCUCGACGCGUAACCGAAAGGUCCGUGGUUCGAUUCCCGGCGAAGGCG